AUUGAACGCUGGCGGCAUGCCUUACACAUGCAAGUCGAACGGCAGCACGGGGCAACCUGGUGGCGAGUGGCGAACGGGUGAGUAAUGCAUCGGAACGUGCCAUUGAGUGGGGGAUAACGUAGCGAAAGUUGCGCUAAUACCGCAUAUUCUGUGAGCAGGAAAGCAGGGGACCGCAAGGCCUUGCGCUCUUUGAGCGGCCGAUGUCAGAUUAGCUAGUUGGUGAGGUAACGGCUUACCAAGGCGACGAUCUGUAGCGGGUCUGAGAGGAUGAUCCGCCACACUGGAACUGAGACACGGUCCAGACUCCUACGGAGGCAGCAGUGGGGAAUUUUGGACAAUGGGCGCAAGCCUGAUCCAGCCAUGCCGCGUGAGUGAAGAAGGCCUUCGGUUGUAAGACUCUUGCCGGAGAAUACGCAUGG
rnacentral:rRNA from 1 species